CCGGGUGCUUACACAUGCAAGUCGAACGGUGAAGCCAAGCUUGCUUGGUGGAUCAGUGGCGAACGGGUGAGUAACACGUGAGCAACCUGCCCUGGACUCUGGGAUAAGCGCUGGAAACGGCGUCUAAUACUGGAUAUGAGACGUGAUCGCAUGGUCGUGUUUGGAAAGAUUUUUCGGUCUGGGAUGGGCUCGCGGCCUAUCAGCUUGUUGGUGAGGUAAUGGCUCACCAAGGCGUCGACGGGUAGCCGGCCUGAGAGGGUGACCGGCCACACUGGGACUGAGACACGGCCCAGACUCCUACGGGAGGCAGCAGUGGGGAAUAUUGCACAAUGGGCGAAAGCCUGAUGCAGCAACGCCGCGUGAGGGAUGACGGCCUUCGGGUUGUAAACCUCUUUUAGCAGGGAAGAAGCGAAAGUGACGGUACCUGCAGAAAAAGCGCCGGCUAACUACGUGCCAGCAGCCGCGGUAAUACGUAGGGCGCAAGCGUUAUCCGGAAUUAUUGGGCGUAAAGAGCUCGUAGGCGGUUUGUCGCGUCUGCUGUGAAAUCCCGAGGCUCAACCUCGGGCCUGCAGUGGGUACGGGCAGACUAGAGUGCGGUAGGGGAGAUUGGAAUUCCUGGUGUAGCGGUGG
rnacentral:rRNA from 1 species